GACGAACGCUGGCGGCGUGCCUAAUACAUGCAAGUCGAACGCUUCUUUCCUCCCGAGUGCUUGCACUCAAUUGGAAAGAGGAGUGGCGGACGGGCGAGUAACACGUGGGUAACCUACCCAUCAGAGGGGGAUAACACUUGGAAACAGGUGCUAAUACCGCAUAACAGUUUAUGCCGCAUGGCAUAAGAGUGAAAGGCGCUUUCGGGUGUCGCUGAUGGAUGGACCCGCGGUGCAUUAGCUAGUUGGUGAGGUAACGGCUCACCAAGGCCACGAUGCAUAGCCGACCUGAGAGGGUGAUCGGCCACACUGGGACUGAGACACGGCCCAGACUCCUACGGGAGGCAGCAGUAGGGAAUCUUCGGCAAUGGACGAAAGUCUGACCGAGCAACGCCGCGUGAGUGAAGAAGGUUUUCGGAUCGUAAAACUCUGUUGUUAGAGAAGAACAAGGACGUUAGUAACUGAACGUCCCCUGACGGUAUCUAACCAGAAAGCCACGGCUAACUACGUG
rnacentral:rRNA from 1 species